UGUACAAAAUACCAGAAUUAAAAACAAAAGCUAAAACUAAUAUUUUAUAUUAAUUAUCAGUGCAUGUUGUGUUAUACAUAUAUUUUAUUUUACCAUAAAGUACUGAAAUUUAUUUCAUCCGGCAGGUAAAAUGAAGGCAGCAAUAUUCCUGCUGCGUCUCCCUAAAUGUGAGCCACCUAGAGAACACUGAGACAAACAAUACAGUCCACUAUAGCACGAAGACGACUACAGUUUACUUAGUGGCAACUGGAUAUGAUUACUAUCACUCUAAACAGCUAAAAUGUUGCUAUCGUUCUUUUUAUUUAGUAAUACAUCAUUUAAUUUUAAUCAUUCUUAGGAAAUCAAAUAAAAUCUAUAAACCUAACAUUCAGUGAAAUUCAAGAAAUCACCAACAUUAUAGAAUUUUCAGUUAUAUUUCUUGCAUAAAAUUACAUACAAGAGUACAGAGCAAGGCAGAGCAUGGCAGACCUUUUGCAGGAAGACUACUUUGUCCUCCUUAUACAUUUCAGAGAAUGACGGGGUGUGUAGAACCAGUCAUAUUUUAGCAGAUAACACUGUCAUGUCGGAUCCAGACCAGAGAAUCGCAGCGCAGCUAAAGACUCACCCACCUCACAGUCACUCACCCUGUCCUCGCCACUACACUCGAAGUUGACGUCUAUGCCACUCCACCAUCUCUUUUGCUAUACGUUGACAUCUGCUCCAGCGUCGAGGAGGACCUUCACAGUGUUGUCGUGGCCACCUUCGGCUGCCCUGAGAAGGGCUGUCCUGCCUGUCAACAGACACCACAAUUGUUAUUAUGCAUAAACCAUCACGAUUCCAGAGGUUUCUGUAAAUUGUUGAAAUAAACCAUCCUUGAUUAACAA